CUCUUCUCCCUGGUAUCCAGUGACAGGACGUGUGGGAAUGGUUCAAAGCUGCGUCAGGGGAGGUUCAGACUUGACAUUAGGAAGCAUUUCUUUGUCGAGAGGGUGGUCAAAGGCUGGAACAGGCUUCAGUCUACUGGAGCA